GGUAGUGUAGUUAACACCUGCACUUAUUUGACGUUACCUACAGAAGAAGCACCGGCUAACUCCGUGCCAGCAGCCGCGGUAAUACGGAGGGUGCGAGCGUUAAUCGGAAUUACUGGGCGGUAAAGACGCAUGCAGGUGGUUUGUUUAAGUCAGAUGUGAAAGACCCGGGGCGUCAACCUCGGAACUAGCAUUUGUAAACUAGGCAGACUAGAGUACUGUAGAGGGGGUAGGAAUUUCAGGUGUAGCGGUGAAAUGCGUAGAGAUCUGAAGGAAUACCGGUGGCGAAGGCGGCCCCCUCGGACAGAUACUGACACUCAGAUGCGAAAGACGUGGGGAGGCAAACAGGAUUAGAUACCCUCGUAG
rnacentral:rRNA from 1 species